rnacentral:tRNA from 2 species
GGGCCGGUGGCUCAGCUUGGCCAAAUCUAAAGAUGUCAAGGAGCACACGGCUGAUAACCGUGGGGUCGUGGGUUCAAAUCCCACCCGGCCCA